AGUGACAAGAGCAAAAGGAAAAAUAUUUUCAUCUCCAUCGCUCUUUUUUUCUUCUUUUUUCUUUUUUUUCUCUUUUCCUUUCGUCGUUCGUCU
rnacentral:ribozyme from 13 species